ensembl:lncRNA
CUGAAGCUUCAUUGCUCCAUGGGAAUGACCUCUUCCGUGGUGACCCCUGUGGGGGUGUGGUAAGUCUGUGUGCUCCAUCAAGGGAGGUGACGGGUGUAGCUGAUUCCCCAUGGGAACUGGCUGGAACAGUGGACACAGUUGCUCCCUUAGAAGAAGCACCAGGCAGAGGUACUUCCUCUGGCAAUGCAGAAGGCACAGGCGCUCUCUUAGGGGAUGUGGUGGGUACAGGUACUUCUCUGGGGGAUGCACAGGACAUAGGUGCUUCCUCAGUGGACCUGGACGGUACAGGUGCUUCCACAGGGGGUGCAGCAGGCACAGGGGCUCCCUUGGAGGACCUGUUCAGAAGAGGUGCUCCCACUUCAGUAGACCCAGCGGGUACAGAUGCUCUCUCAGGGGACCUGGCCAGACGAGUUGCUCCCUCAGCGGAGGUGGUGAGUAAAGAUGCCUCCUUGGGGUAUGCAGUAGGCACAGAUGCAUUUAGAGGUGACCUGGCUGGAACAGGUGCUUCCUCCAAGGACGCUGCAGGCACAUGUGCUGCCUCAGAGGAUCUGGCUGGAAGAUGUGCUCCCUCAGGGGAGGUGGUGAGUACAGAUGCCUCCUCAGGGUAUGCAGCAAGCACGAAAGACUUCAGAGGUGACCUGGCUGGAAGAGGAUCUCCCUCAGAGGACCUGGUUGGAAGAGGUGCUCCCUCAGGGGAUGCACCAGGCAAAGGUGUAUCCUCAGGAGUCCUGGCCAGAUCAGGUGCAUCCUCAGGGGAUGCAACAGAAUCAGGUUGCCCAGGGGAUGUGGUGGGAACAGGUGUCCUGGAAGAUGUAGGUCGUCCCAUGGGUUUCCUUAGGGGCAAAGGCGUUAAGAUGAUAUUUCUUGUCACAUACUGCCUGAUAUUUUCAGGGACCCUUAUUUUUCUGUUCAGUGGGGGCCUGGCAGGCACAGGUGCUCCCUGUUGGGACCCAUUGGCAGCAGUUACUCCUUGCAGGGUUCUGGCCAGAACAGGUGCUUCCUCGGGGGAUGCAACAGGCACAGGUGCUUGCUCAGGGGAUGCUGGGGGUAUAGGUCGUCCCAUGGGUUGCCUUAAAGGCAAAGGUGUUAAGAUGGAUUUCCUUGUCAGAUACUGCCUCAUAUUUUCAGGGAUCUUCAGUUUUUGCCUCAGUGGGGGCCUAGCUGGCACAGGUGCUUCCUUUUGGGACCCGUCAGGAACAGUUGCUCCUUGCAGGUUCCUGGAAAGCACAGGCAUUUCCCAUUGAGACUUGUCCGGAACAGUUGGUACUUUUGUGGUCCUGGAAGACACAGGCACUUCCUGUUGGGACCCGUUGGGAACAACUGGUCCUUUUAGGAUCCUGGAAGGCACAGGCACUUCCUGUGUGGAGCUGACAGGAACAGGUGCUCCUUGUGGGGCCUCUAUUUCCUGGUCUAUAGGGAGGUCCCCACACUCAACCUUCUCACAUGAGGAGCGUAAAUGGUCUUCGAUCUCCAUCACUGCCCACCACCGCCCAGCAAGGAGGGCUGUGAUGAGCUCCUCAUGCUCAUCAAAGGGGAUGAGGGUUUCUGUUUUUUGGAUAAGCAUCUUUGAUGGAAUUAAGACAAGUUAUCCAAAAAAAGUGUAUAAUUUCAAACGUUUUUUAAACAAUUAACUGUAUCUGUGAAACACUGUAAGAGAAAGAGAGAGAAGAGGUGAACAAAUAAAAGCAGGUUCAUUUUUUUAAGACUAGGCUAUGCCUACAGGAUGCAAAGGAGGAUGAGUCUUUGCAAAAAAUGUAUUAAAAAUGUUCACAGCAACUAAGCAGAUUAACUUGUGUUGUAAUAAUUGUACCAAUGAAUAUGCAUAACAGAGAUGCAUAUAUUGUGAGCCAUAUAAUGUAAAAACACAUAAUUUUUCUUAUAUACGCGGUUGUCUAUAGGCUAUAAGUUUUAUUUUUUUCUUUAUUAUUAUAUUAAUUACUUGUUAUAGCACUUAUAUUUAAUUGCUCUUUUGUUGUUUUUGAUUGCUUCCAUUGUCCUCAUUUGUAAGUCGCUUUGGAUAAAAGCGUCUGCUAAAUGACUAAAUAU